rnacentral:rRNA from 1 species
UACGAAGGGGGCUAGCGUUGCUCGGAAUCACUGGGCGUAAAGCGCACGUAGGCGGUCUUUUAAGUCAGGGGUGAAAUCCUGGAGCUCAACUCCAGAACUGCCUUUGAUACUGAGAGACUUGAGUCCGGGAGAGGUGAGUGGAACUGCGAGUGUAGGGGUGAAAUUCGUAGAUAUUCGCAAGAACACCAGUGGCGAAGGCGGCUCACUGGCCCGGUACUGACGCUGAGGUGCGAAAGCGUGGGGAGCAAACAGG